rnacentral:rRNA from 1 species
GUGCCAGCAGUCGCGGUAAUACCGGCAGCACAAGUGAUGGCCGAUAUUAUUGGGCCUAAAGCGUCCGUAGCUGGCCAGACAAGUCCGUUGGGAAAUCGACGUGCUCAACGCGUCGGCGUCCAGCGGAAACUGUCUGGCUUGGGACCGGAAGACCCGAGGGGUACGUCCGGGGUAGGAGUGAAAUCCCGUAAUCCUGGACGGACCACCGGUGGCGAAAGCGCCUCGGGAAGACGGAUCCGACAGUGAGGGACGAAAGCUGGGGUCUCGAACCGGAUUAGAAACCCUUGUAGUCC